GACAGAGGUGCCAAGCGUUAGGCGGAAUCACUGGGCUUAAAGCGUGUGUAGGCGGUCGAUCAAGUACCUUGUGAAAUCCCACGGCUCAACCGUGGAACUGCUGGGUAUACUGGUUGUCUUGAGUCAGCUAGGGGCGAGCGGAACAGACGGUGGAGCGGUGAAAUGCGUAGAUAUCGUCUGGAACGCCGAAGGUGAAAACAGCACGCUGGGGCUGCGCUGACGCUGAGACACGAAAGCCAGGGGAGCGAACGGG
rnacentral:rRNA from 1 species